rnacentral:rRNA from 1 species
GAGUUUGAUCAUGGCUCAGGACGAACGCUGGCGGCGUGCUUAACACAUGCAAGUCGAACGGUGAACCACCUUCGGGUGGGGAUCAGUGGCGAACGGGUGAGUAACACGUGGGCAACCUGCCCUUAGCUCUGGGAUAACCCCGGGAAACCGGGGCUAAUACCGGAUACGACUCCGAGCGGCAUCACUCGGGGUGGAAAGUUUUUCGGCUAAGGAUGGGCCCGCGGCCUAUCAGCUUGUUGGUGGGGUAACGGCCUACCAAGGCGACGACGGGGUAGCCGGCCUGAGAGGGCGACCGGCCACACUGGGACUGAGACACGGCCCAGACUCCUACGGGAGGCAGCAGUGGGGAAUAUUGCGCAAUGGGCGAAAGCCUGACGCAGCGACGCCGCGUGAGGGAUGAAGGCCUUCGGGUCGUAAACCUCUUUCUAGCAGGGACGAAGCGCAAGUGACGGUACCUGCAGAAGAAGCACCGGCUAACUACGUGCCAGCCGCCGCCGUAA